UCCGGUUGAUUCUGCCGGACCCAAUUGCUAUCAGCUUCAGACUAAGACAUGCAAGUCGAAAGGCGCCCCAUGUGGUGCCUUGGCGAACUGCUCCGUAACAGGUGGACAACGUACCCUGGGGAGGAGGCUAACCACGAGAAAUUGUGGAUAAUACACCAUAGGUGAGCGGAUCUGGAAAUCGACCGCUCAGCGUAACGGGCUGGGGAACUAUGGUCCCUGUCCCGCCCCAGGAUCGGUCUGCCCCCGAUUAGGUAGAUGUGAGGGUAACUGCCCCACAUGCCAUUGAUCGGUAGGGGUCAUGAGAGUGUGAGCCCCGAGAAGUCUACUGAGACACUGAGACUAUUCCUACGGGAAGCAGCAGUCGCGAAACCUUUACAAUGCUCGAAAGAGUGAUAGGGUGAAGCUGAGUGCCACCAGUAUAAGCUGGAGGCUGUUCCCCAUGCGUAAAGAACUGGGGAAGGAAGGAGAGGGCAAGGCUGGUGCCAGCAGCCGCGGUAAAACCAGCUCUUCAAGUGAUUGGGACGAUUAUUGACCUUAAAGCGCCCGUAGCAUGAAUCUUAAGUCUUCGGUUAAAUCCGGCGGCUCAACCGCCGGUCCGCUGAAGAUACUGAGAUUGCUAGGGAACGGGAGAGGUACGCCGUACUGUGGGGGGAGCGGUGAAAUGCGUCGAUCCCCACGGGACGACCAGUGGCGAAGGCGACGUACUGGAACGUGUCCGACUGUGAGGGGCGAAAGCUCAGGUAGCAAACGGGAUUAGAUACCCCGGUAGUCUGGGCCGUAAACGAUGCCGAUUAGCUGUGGGGUACACUCCGAGUGUGCCCCGUGGCGAAGGGAAACCGUUAAAUCGGCCGGUUGGGAAGUACGCUCGCAAGGGUGAAACUUAAAGAAAUUGACGGGAGAAUACACAACUCUAGGGGCCUGUGGCUUGAAUUGGAUACAACCCCGGAAACCUUACCACGCGCACCGCUGAAAAUGAUGGUCAGAUUGACGAUCUUGCCGGAUCUGCGUAGACUGGUGCAUGGCCACUGCCAGACAGUAUUGUGAAACGUCACGUUAAUUCGUGUAACUGUCGCAACCGACGCCCGCAUUUGCCAUCGAGAGGCUACGGCUUCGUCGGGAACUAUGCGGGGACCGCUUUCAAUUAGAAAGAUGAAGGUGUCGACCACAGUAGGUCUGUAUGCCGUCGGAUCGCGUGGGCCGCACGCGGGCCACAUUGCAAGGGACAGAGGGCUGCGACUCCGAAAGGAGGAGCCAAUCCCUAAACCCUUGCGCAGUUUGGAUCGAGGGCUGCAAUCGCCCUCGUGAAAUUGGAUUGAGCAGUAAUCGCGUGUCAUCAACGCGCGGUGAAUACGUAGAUAUUCUUUGUUCACACCGCCCGUCGCUGUAUGGAAAUGUGUUAGGGCCAAGGAGCAGUCCCUCGGGUUGCUUCGAAGUUCUGGCACGUAACUGGACAGAAGUCGUAACAAGGUA
rnacentral:rRNA from 1 species